rnacentral:rRNA from 1 species
UGCAAGUCGAACGAUGAACCGCUUUCGGGCGGGGAUUAGUGGCGAACGGGUGAGUAACACGUGGGCAAUCUGCCCUGCACUCUGGGACAAGCCCUGGAAACGGGGUCUAAUACCGGAUAUGACUGUCCAUCGCAUGGUGGAUGGUGUAAAGCUCCGGCGGUGCAGGAUGAGCCCGCGGCCUAUCAGCUUGUUGGUGAGGUAGUGGCUCACCAAGGCGACGACGGGUAGCCGGCCUGAGAGGGCGACCGGCCACACUGGGACUGAGACACGGCCCAGACUCCUACGGGAGGCAGCAGUGGGGAAUAUUGCACAAUGGGCGAAAGCCUGAUGCAGCGACGCCGCGUGAGGGAUGACGGCCUUCGGGUUGUAAACCUCUUUCAGCAGGGAAGAAGCGAAAGUGACGGUACCUGCAGAAGAAGCGCCGGCUAACUACGUGCCAGCAGCCGCGGUAAUACGUAGGGCGCAAGCGUUGUCCGGAAUUAUUGGGCGUAAAGAGCUCGUAGGCGGCUUGUCACGUCGGUUGUGAAAGCCCGGGGCUUAACCCCGGGUCUGCAGUCGAUACGGGCAGGCUAGAGUUCGGUAGGGGAGAUCGGAAUUCCUGGUGUAGCGGUGAAAUGCGCAGAUAUCAGGAGGAACACCGGUGGCGAAGGCGGAUCUCUGGGCCGAUACUGACGCUGAGGAGCGAAAGCGUGGGGAGCGAACAGGAUUAGAUACCCUGGUAGUCCACG